rnacentral:rRNA from 1 species
UACGUAGGGGGCAAGCGUUGUCCGGAAUUAUUGGGCGUAAAGCGCGCGCAGGCGGCGGAUUAAGUCUGGUGUUUAAGGCCGGGGCUCAACCCCGGAACGCACCGGAAACUGGUUCGCUUGAGUGCAGAAGAGGAGAGUGGAAUUCCACGUGUAGCGGUGAAAUGCGUAGAGAUGUGGAGGAACACCAGUGGCGAAGGCGACUCUCUGGUCUGUAACUGACGCUGAGGCGCGAAAGCGUGGGGAGCAAACAGG